ACGGAGGGUGCAAGCGUUGUUCGGAUUGACUGGGCGUAAAGGGCGUGUAGGCGGUCGGCCAAGUCUGAUGUGAAAGCCCGAGGCUCAGCCUCGGAAGUGCGUCGGAAACUAGUCGGCUGGAGCGCGAUAGAGGAGGGUGGAAUUCCUGGUGUAGCGGUGAAAUGCGUAGAUAUCAGGAGGAACACCGGCGGCGAAGGCGGCCCUCUGGAUCGUUGCUGACGCUGAUACGCGAAAGCGUGGGGAGCAAACAGGA
rnacentral:rRNA from 1 species